CAUUACCGAGUUAGGGUCUCUCAGGCCCGACCUCCCACCCCAUGUGUACCUACCUCUGUUGCUUUGGCGCGACCCGCUGGGGAAACCCACCGUCGGCUCCGGCUGGCGAGCGUCCGCCAGAGACCCAACCAAACUCUGUUUAUCAGUGUCGUCUGAGUAACAUAUAAUAGUUAAAACUUUCAACAACGGAUCUCUUGGUUCUGGCAUCGAUGAAGAACGCAGCGAAAUGCGAUAAGUAAUGUGAAUUGCAGAAUUCAGUGAAUCAUCGAAUCUUUGAACGCACAUUGCGCCCCCUGGUAUUCCGGGGGGCAUGCCUGUUCGAGCGUCAUUACACCACUCAAGCUCAGCUUGGUAUUGGGCCCUCGUCCCUCGGGACGUGCCUGAAAAUCAGUGGCGGUGCUGCCUGACUUCAAGCGUAGUAAUUUCAUAUCUCGCUUUGGAAGCUCGGGAUCGUGUGCCUGCCAUACAACCCCCAAUUUUUCAAGGUUGACCUCGGAUCAGGUAGGGAUACCCGCUGAACUUAAGCAUAUCAAUA
rnacentral:rRNA from 1 species